UUAGUGGCGAACGGGUGAGUAACGCGUGAGAAACCUGCCUUUCAGUGGGGGACAACAGUUGGAAACGACUGCUAAUACCGCAUAAUGCAUUUGAGUCGCAUGGCUCUGAAUGCCAAAGAUUUAUCGCUCUGAGAUGGACUCGCGUCUGAUUAGCUAGUUGGCGGGGUAACGGCCCACCAAGGCGACGAUCAGUAGCCGGACUGAGAGGUUGGCCGGCCACAUUGGGACUGAGACACGGCCCAGACUCCUACGGGAGGCAGCAGUGGGGAAUAUUGGGCAAUGGGCGCAAGCCUGACCCAGCAACGCCGCGUGAAGGAAGAAGGCCCUCGGGUUGUAAACUUCUUUUGUCAGGGACGAAUUUUGACGGUACCUGACGAAUAAGCCACGGCUAACUACGUGCCAGCAGCCGCGGUAAUACGUAGGUGGCAAGCGUUAUCCGGAUUUACUGGGUGUAAAGGGCGUGUAGGCGGGACUGCAAGUCAGAUGUGAAAACCACGGGCUCAACCUGUGGCCUGCAUUUGAAACUGUAGUUCUUGAGUGUCGGAGAGGUAAUCGGAAUUCCUAGUGUAGCGGUGAAAUGCGUAGAUAUUAGGAGGAACACCAGUGGCGAAGGCGGAUUACUGGACGAUAACUGACGCUGAGGCGCGAAAGCGUGGGGAGCAAACAGGAUUAGAUACCCUGGUAGUCCACGCUGUAAACGAUGGAUACUAGGUGUGGGGGGUCUGACCCCCUCCGUGCCGCAGUUAACACAAUAAGUAUCCCACCUGGGGAGUACGAUCGCAAGGUUGAAACUCAAAGGAAUUGACGGGGGCCCGCACAAGCGGUGGAGUAUGUGGUUUAAUUCGAAGCAACGCGAAGAACCUUACCAGGGCUUGACAUCCCGGUGACCGCUCUAGAGAUAGAGCUUUCCUUCGGGACACCGGUGACAGGUGGUGCAUGGUUGUCGUCAGCUCGUGUCGUGAGAUGUUGGGUUAAGUCUCGCAACGAGCGCAACCCCUAUUGUUAGUUGCUACGCAAGAGCACUCUAGCGAGACUGCCGUUGACAAAACGGAGGAAGGUGGGGACGACGUCAAAUCAUCAUGCCCCUUAUGUCCUGGGCCACACACGUACUACAAUGGUGGUUAACAGAGGGAAGCAAUCCCGCGAGGAGGAGCAAAUCCCUAAAAGCCAUCCCAGUUCGGAUUGCAGGCUGCAACCCGCCUGCAUGAAGUUGGAAUCGCUAGUAAUCGCGGAUCAGCAUGCCGCGGUGAAU
rnacentral:rRNA from 1 species